rnacentral:rRNA from 1 species
GUCUACGGCCAUACCAUCCUGAACGCGCCCGAUCUCGUCUGAUCUCGGAAGCUAAGCAGGGUCGGGCCUGGUUAGUACUUGGAUGGGAGACCAAAAUAAAAAAUUAUGCAUGCAAAUGUGGUCA